rnacentral:rRNA from 1 species
GUGAGUAACACGUGGAUAACCUACCUAUAAGACUGGGAUAACUUCGGGAAACCGGAGCUAAUACCGGAUAAUAUUUCGAACCGCAUGGUUCAAAAGUGAAAGACGGUCUUGCUGUCACUUAUAGAUGGAUCCGCGCUGCAUUAGCUAGUUGGUAAGGUAACGGCUUACCAAGGCAACGAUGCAUAGCCGACCUGAGAGGGUGAUCGGCCACACUGGAACUGAGACACGGUCCAG